GCUACCGGGCGACCGGAUGCGGAUCUCGAAAGCCUGUCCCAGUUCGGACUGGAGUCUGCAACCCGACUCCACGAAGUUGGAUUCGCUAGUAAUCGCGCAUCAGCCAUGGCGCGGUGAAUACGUUCCCGGGCCUUGUACACACCGCCCGUCACACCACGGAAGUUGGGGGCGCCCGAAGCCACUUAGCUAACCCUUUUGGGAAGCGAGUGUCGAAGGUGAAAUCAAUAACUGGGGUGAAGUCGUAACAAGGUAGC
rnacentral:rRNA from 1 species